AAAAAGACUUAAAAUCUCCUCAUCUUAGAAAAUGUUUUCAAAGUAUUUGUUUCUGUGUUUUUAACCUAUGAAAGAUACUAUCUUUUAUCGGCAGGGUUUCAUCUCACCCCCUUCACUCCUGGCCACACUCAGUCUGUCACUUUUCUGUCAUCGUUGGAUUUAAUUAUAGAUGAAUGAAUUAUUUCUCAGAAAACUAGCUUGCUAAAUCUAAACAUCACGUUGUGAUUUCCCUUUGAUAAGUAGCAUAAAUGCAGAACUGCAUGU
rnacentral:lncRNA from 1 species